rnacentral:lncRNA from 1 species
UAACUCCUUAGGAGAAGAAGGGAGAAUAAAUAUGUGAAAUGGAAAUUUAGUGAUGAAUUCCAUGAUUCUUCGAAAACAAAAAGAAAUCAAAGAUGGCGACUUAGAGCAUGAAAGUGACACAUUGAGAUGCAAGGUUAGGAAGUCAAUACCCAUUCUACCAAAAGUUUAGAAUUUUGUUUUCAAAUUGAUGAUGCUUCCGGCUUGGUUUGUAAUUUGGUGUUAUUUUUUGUUUCAUUUUGAGGUGUUAUGAUUUGAAUUUUUUUUUUCUUAUUCUUCGAUUCUUUGAGCUUGUAAGUUAUUAGGUCUAUCUUUGUAACCUUUACAAAAUUUUAUUCUUAAAUUAAAAAAUAUAUAUAAUAACACUAUUCUUACAUCAAUAAGAUUAUACAUUUUUUUUAUCUCAAAAUUUUUUAAUAAGCUUAUUUUAAAAUUAGCAGAACUGUUUUUAACUAAUAAGUCUAAAUUAAAAUAUAAUUAUUUUCAAAGUUAAUUUAAUAAUAUUAUGAAAGAUAAAGGUACUCUAGUUGGUUUAUAAAUUUUCUAAAUUCGUGCUUAUAUAUAUUAUAGAUUAAUUACAAAAAUAGUUUUAACAUUGUUAAUUAUUAUUAUAUUUAAAAUAAAAUUAUAUUUAUAUAUAUAAAUGAUAUAUUUAAUUAAAAUAAAUUAGAUUUUUAUUAUUUUAAUUUACCUAAUUAUAUUCAAUAAUUUUAUAGAUUUAUAAUUUUAUUGAUUAAUAAUAUAUUAUAUUAUUUUUUAAGUAGAAUUUUUAAAAAAUAUGACCAAAUUAAUUAAUUGUAUGUUAAUAUAAUAUAAUAUUAAUUAAUAUUUAGUUAAUAUUAUUAUCAUCACAUAAUAAUAUUAAUAAAUUAAUAUUUUGAAUUUAAUAAUAUUAUUAACAAUAAAGAGUAUUUUUUAAUUUAAAAUUCUUUUUAAAUUCGUUUUUUAUAUAAAUUAUAAAUUAUAAAUAUAGAUACACUAUUAUAGAUUGAAGAAAGGGUAAAUGUUAUUUUUUAGGGAAAGUUUUCAUGUUAGUUAAGUAUUAAUUUCAACUAUUAGUUACACGUAAAAUACACUUCCUUUUACUAAAUUUUUAGGUUAAAUAGGUAAUAUAUGACAAUUUUUUAAUUCACGAUCAAUUUUUUUAAGGUUAGGGUUGAUUAUUAGUAUUGGGAUUUAGGGGUUUUAUUGGGUUUAGAGUUUUAAGAGUGACCGUGAAAGUUUAUAGGUAGUUUUGAAAGGUUGGGGAUGCGAUAAUACGUUUCAGAACACAUACAUUUCAUAUGUCAUGCUAGGAUAAUACCAUUCCUGUAAAAAUCCAUCCUAUGGAAGUCGGGUUCCGGGGUGACAGUGUUUGAUACGGUCGCGGGUCAAAGUUUAAGUGAAGGUCCCAGUCGAUGACCUUUAUGCGGUCACGAGUUCGAGUGUAACUAGGGGGUAGUUCACGAUCAUUAUACAGUCACAAGUUCAAACUUUUCGGAUACCCGCAAAUGAUGCCUUGAGGUCAUAAUCAUAGGGGAAAACGAAGGGCUUUCCAAUGUAAUCAACAUAAUUUUUUUUGUUGCUAUUUCCAGGCAAUCGAUAUCUUUAACAUUUCAUUCUUAUCCGAAGGUUAACACCAAGGUUGACACAAGAGAACUUUCAGGUGGAGAGCGGAUGUCCUGGCGAAGCAAAGGUCAAACUCGAGUUGGCGUGAUAGCGGUUGUAGUUAUUAAUGGGUUAUUUAAUAACAAUAAUCGUUGUCGCCUCGAAAGGAGCAUCACCUUUACUCCACUUGUAACAUCCUCAAAAACCCCCUUGGUCGUAAAUAAUAUGAGAUAAAAUCUUAGUGAAAUAAGGUAUAAGAUCAAAGAAAAUGAAAGUUGCAAUAUAUCAAAAGAAUUGUAAUAUAUCAAAAGAGAGUUAAAUCAAGAAGCAUGACAUCAUGUAUUAAUGAAGGGACUAAAUCAUAAAUAUGUGAAAAGUUUUUGGC